rnacentral:rRNA from 1 species
GUACACAAAAAUGCACAUACUGUGAGCUCGAUGAGUAGGGCGGGACACGUGGUAUCCUGUCUGAAUAUGGGGGGACCAUCCUCCAAGGCUAAAUACUCCUGACUGACCGAUAGUGAACCAGUACCGUGAGGGAAAGGCGAAAAGAACCCCGGCGAGGGGAGUGAAAAAGAACCUGAAACCGUGUACGUACAAGCAGUGGGAGCACGCCUAGGCGUGUGACUGCGUACCUUUUGUAUAAUGGGUCAGCGACUUAUAUUCUGUAGCAAGGUUAACCGAAUAGGGGAGCCGAAGGGAAACCGAGUCUUAACUGGGCGUUAAGUUGCAGGGUAUAGACCCGAAACCCGGUGAUCUAGCCAUGGGCAGGUUGAAGGUUGGGUAACACUAACUGGAGGACCGAACCGACUAAUGUUGAAAAAUUAGCGGAUGACUUGUGGCUGGGGGUGAAAGGCCAAUCAAACCGGGAGAUAGCUGGUUCUCCCCGAAAGCUAUUUAGGUAGCGCCUCGUGAAUUCAUCUCCGGGGGUAGAGCACUGUUUCGGCAAGGGGGUCAUCCCGACUUACCAACCCGAUGCAAACUGCGAAUACCGGAGAAUGUUAUCACGGGAGACACACGGCGGGUGCUAACGUCCGUCGUGAAGAGGGAAACAACCCAGACCGCCAGCUAAGGUCCCAAAGUCAUGGUUAAGUGGGAAACGAUGUGGGAAGGCCCAGACAGCCAGGAUGUUGGCUUAGAAGCAGCCAUCAUUUAAAGAAAGCGUAAUAGCUCACUGGUCGAGUCGGCCUGCGCGGAAGAUGUAACGGGGCUAAACCAUGCACCGAAGCUGCGGCAGCGACGCUUAUGCGUUGUUGGGUAGGGGAGCGUUCUGUAAGCCUGCGAAGGUGUGCUGUGAGGCAUGCUGGAGGUAUCAGAAGUGCGAAUGCUGACAUAAGUAACGAUAAAGCGGGUGAAAAGCCCGCUCGCCGGAAGACCAAGGGUUCCUGUCCAACGUUAAUCGGGGCAGGGUGAGUCGACCCCUAAGGCGAGGCCGAAAGGCGUAGUCGAUGGGAAACAGGUUAAUAUUCCUGUACUUGGUGUUACUGCGAAGGGGGGACGGAGAAGGCUAUGUUGGCCGGGCGACGGUUGUCCCGGUUUAAGCGUGUAGGCUGGUUUUCCAGGCAAAUCCGGAAAAUCAAGGCUGAGGCGUGAUGACGAGGCACUACGGUGCUGAAGCAACAAAUGCCCUGCUUCCAGGAAAAGCCUCUAAGCAUCAGGUAACAUCAAAUCGUACCCCAAACCGACACAGGUGGUCAGGUAGAGAAUACCAAGGCGCUUGAGAGAACUCGGGUGAAGGAACUAGGCAAAAUGGUGCCGUAACUUCGGGAGAAGGCACGCUGAUAUGUAGGUGAAGUCCCUUGCGGAUGGAGCUGAAAUCAGUCGAAGAUACCAGCUGGCUGCAACUGUUUAUUAAAAACACAGCACUGUGCAAACACGAAAGUGGACGUAUACGGUGUGACGCCUGCCCGGUGCCGGAAGGUUAAUUGAUGGGGUUAGCGCAAGCGAAGCUCUUGAUCGAAGCCCCGGUAAACGGCGGCCGUAACUAUAACGGUCCUAAGGUAGCGAAAUUCCUUGUCGGGUAAGUUCCGACCUGCACGAAUGGCGUAAUGAUGGCCAGGCUGUCUCCACCCGAGACUCAGUGAAAUUGAACUCGCUGUGAAGAUGCAGUGUACCCGCGGCAAGACGGAAAGACCCCGUGAACCUUUACUAUAGCUUGACACUGAACAUUGAGCCUUGAUGUGUAGGAUAGGUGGGAGGCUUUGAAGUGUGGACGCCAGUCUGCAUGGAGCCGACCUUGAAAUACCACCCUUUAAUGUUUGAUGUUCUAACGUUGACCCGUGAUCCGGGUUGCGGACAGUGUCUGGUGGGUAGUUUGACUGGGGCGGUCUCCUCCUAAAGAGUAACGGAGGAGCACGAAGGUUGGCUAAUCCUGGUCGGACAUCAGGAGGUUAGUGCAAUGGCAUAAGCCAGCUUGACUGCGAGCGUGACGGCGCGAGCAGGUGCGAAAGCAGGUCAUAGUGAUCCGGUGGUUCUGAAUGGAAGGGCCAUCGCUCAACGGAUAAAAGGUACUCCGGGGAUAACAGGCUGAUACCGCCCAAGAGUUCAUAUCGACGGCGGUGUUUGGCACCUCGAUGUCGGCUCAUCACAUCCUGGGGCUGAAGUAGGUCCCAAGGGUAUGGCUGUUCGCCAUUUAAAGUGGUACGCGAGCUGGGUUUAGAACGUCGUGAGACAGUUCGGUCCCUAUCUGCCGUGGGCGCUGGAGAAUUGAGGGGGGCUGCUCCUAGUACGAGAGGACCGGAGUGGACGCAUCACUGGUGUUCGGGUUGUCAUGCCAAUGGCACUGCCCGGUAGCUAAAUGCGGAAGAGAUAAGUGCUGAAAGCAUCUAAGCACGAAACUUGCCCCGAGAUGAGUUCUCCCUGACUCCUUGAGAGUCCUGAAGGAACGUUGAAGACGACGACGUUGAUAGGCCGGGUGUGUAAGCGCAGCGAUGCGUUGAGCUAACCGGUACUAAUGAACCGUGAGGCUUAACCUU